rnacentral:rRNA from 1 species
CGUAGGGUGCGAGCGUUGUCCGGAAUUAUUGGGCGUAAAGAGCUCGUAGGCGGUGUGUCGCGUCGGCCGUGAAAACCUGCAGCUUAACUGUGGGCUUGCGGUCGAUACGGGCAUCACUGGAGUUCGGCAGGGGAGACUGGAAUUCCUGGUGUAGCGGUGAAAUGCGCAGAUAUCAGGAGGAACACCGGUGGCGAAGGCGGGUCUCUGGGCCGAUACUGACGCUGAGGAGCGAAAGCGUGGGGAGCGAACAGGAUUAGAUACCCUGGUAGUCCACGCCGUAAACGUUGGGCGCUAGGUGUGGGGGCCAUUCCACGGUCUCUGUGCCGUAGCUAACGCAUUAAGCGCCCCGCCCGGGGAGUACGGCCGCAAGGCUA